CCUACGGGUGGCAGCAGUGAGGAAUAUUGGACAAUGGGCGCGAGCCUGAAUCAGCCAAGUAGCGUGAAGGAUGACUGCUCUACGGGUUGUAAACUUCUUUUAUAUGGGAAUAAAAUGUUCCACGUGUGGGAUUUUGUACGUACCAUAUGAAUAAGGAUCGGCUAACUCCGUGCCAGCAGCCGCGGUAAUACGGAGGAUCCGAGCGUUAUCCGGAUUUAUUGGGGUUAAAGGGAGCGUAGGUGGAUUGGUAAGUCAGUUGUGAAAGUUUGCGGCUCAACCGUAAAAUUGCAGUUGAAACUGGCAGUCUUGAGUACAGGAGAGGUAGGCGGAAUUCGUGGUGUAGCGGUGAAAUGCGUAGAUAUCACGAAGAACUCCGAUGGCGAAGGCAGCUUACUGGACUGCAACUGACACUGAGGCUCGAAAGUGUGGGUAUCAAACAGGAUUAGAUACCCCAGUAGUC
rnacentral:rRNA from 1 species